CCUACGGGAGGCAGCAGUGAGGAAUAUUGGUCAAUGGACGAGAGUCUGAACCAGCCAAGUAGCGUGAAGGAUGACUGCCCUAUGGGUUGUAAACUUCUUUUAUAUGGGAAUAAAAUGUUCCACGUGUGGGAUUUUGUAUGUACCAUAUGAAUAAGGAUCGGCUAACUCCGUGCCAGCAGCCGCGGUAAUACGGAGAAUCCGAGCGGUAUCCGGAUUUAUUGGGUUUAAAGGGAGCGUAGGUGGAUUGUUAAGUCAGUUGUGAAAGUUUGCGGCUCAACCGUAAAAUUGCAGUUGAAACUGGCAGUCGUGAGUACAGUAGAGGUGGGCGGAAUUCGUGGUGUAGCGGUGAAAUGCUUAGAUAUCACGAAGAACUCCGAUUGCGAAGGCAGCUCACUGGACUGCAACUGACACUGAGGCUCGAAAGUGUGGGUAUCAAACAGGAUUAGAUACCCCAGUAGGC
rnacentral:rRNA from 1 species